CGUACGGUCCGGGUGGCUGCAAAACCAAAUUCUCUGCAACUUCUGCGGCUGCUGCUAUGGGCUCUGGCGUCAUAGCGCUCGUUUUAAGUGCAAACGAGGCACUAUCAGCACGAGAUGUCCAGCAUCUGAUCGCAAGAACGUCAAAAAACAACGGUAUUUGCGGAAAUACAUGGAAGAUGAACGCUGCUGGUUUUAGAGUGAGUGACUACUGCGGAUUCGGGCUGCUUGAUGCCGGAAAGCUGACAUCAUUAGCUGUCACCUGGAGGUCCGUUUCAGAGCAGGUCGUGUGCAGUUUGAAACAGAUUGA